rnacentral:tRNA from 1 species
GGGCCAUAACUCAAUGGCAAAGCAUCUGCCUUGGAUGCAGAAGGUCCCAGGUUCAAUCACCAGCAUCUCCA